ACUGGCAGAUUAUUGCAAAAAGGGCACGGGGCAGAGGGACUAUGUUGUGAGCCUGGGAAAGAAGUUUGUGUGGGGACUGUGGGCAGUGAACGCGUUGGGAACAAUAUGGAAAACUGGGAGCUGCCUUGGAAUCUACAGGGCCGGAGAGACCGAGGGGCUCACUAGGUUGACCAGGCUGGUCUUGAACUCCUGGUCUCAAGCCAUCCUCCCACCUCAGCCUCCCAAAGUGCUGGGAUUACAUGCAUGAGCCACCACAUCCAGCCUACCUAAAAUAUUGAAUGCUGUUAAUAAAUCUCCUGAGGCCAGCAUAAGAAGGUGAUGGGCAAAACUAAUGCAGUAGGAGCUGAAAUCGACCAGGGGGUUCUUAUCCAACAGACAGCAGCAAAACUCUUUGUGUAUCUGCGUUCCUUUCAACAAGCGUGACUUCCUCAAUGGCAUCAUUCGUGAGCGUAACACAGAGCUCAGCAAUAACGUUUCUUCACUAACCCUACCAGGGUUUCAGUUGUGCAAUUUCACCAUUAGCAAAGCUUUUUGCUGAAAUCUGGCUUUUCAAAGGGAGAGUAUCCAGAAACAGAAGAUGCUGAUCUGGGAGGCUCUUCCUAAUAGAACUGCUGCUUCAGUUUAACUUGAAAAAGCCCACACCCAGUUCCUAAUGACAAACAUCUGAACACCGGGUCUUCCCCUGAGCAAGACCAUGCUAUGCCUCCUGCUCGCUCUGUUCUAUAAGCAACCCACAGAUUGCUCCCUGUGAAGAGGAGCCUGCCAGGGGAGCAGCAUUCCACCAGACCCUGAUUUAGCAAGAUAUUUCCGUAUCAUUCCCCCAACCAGCUGGAAGUCCUCCACUGCUCUUGUGUAAAAAUCUAACUCAUCUCGCUGAA
rnacentral:lncRNA from 1 species